AUUGAACGCUGGCGGCAGGCCUAACACAUGCAAGUCGAGCGGAAGAAGGGGGCUUGCUCCUGGAUUCAGCGGCGGACGGGUGAGUAAUGCGCAGGAAUCUACCUAGUAGUGGGGGAUAACGUUCCGAAAGGGGCGCUAAUACCGCAUACGUUCUGAGGAAGAAAGCAGGGGAUCGCAAGACCUUGCGCUAUUAGAUGAGCUUGCGUCCGAUUAGCUAGUUGGUGGGGUAAAGGCCUACCAAGGCGACGAUCGGUAACCGGUCUGAGAGGAUGAUCAGUCACACUGGAACUGAGACACGGUCCAGACUCCUACGGGAGGCAGCAGUGGGGAAUAUUGGACAAUGGGGGCAACCCUGAUCCAGCCAUGCCGCGUGUGUGAAGAAGGCCUUCGGGUUGUAAAGCACUUUAAGCGGGGAGGAAGGCUCUAUGGCUAAUAUCCAUGGGGAUUGACGUUACCCGCAGAAUAAGCACCGGCAAACUUCGUG
rnacentral:rRNA from 1 species